GCAGGUAGCAGUUGCUACAGAAUAUAACGAGUGAGGGUGCUCGCUUCGUAGGACAGAGGGAUUUGGUCGAGAUUAAAUUCGAACACUAAGUUCCUGGAAUAGCUGGAGUUGAAUACUGCCAGCUACAUAGCUAGACUAUGGAACGAAGCGAAGUCAAAUAUACAGCCUGAGCUCACUGUAUAUUUGGGAUCGCGGUGUUGGUAAAUUGUUAUUUAAUCGUAUAUUUUACGAGUGCGGCCCGUUUUGAAUAAGCUGAUUGGAAAUAAGCUAACAGUAAAAAAGCUAUUAUUUGUAUAUGACCCUUAUUGAAUGAAAUUGUGAACAAAUAAAAUUCGGACUAAUUCGCUGAAAUUGAAUUUGCAAUUUUGAAAUAACAAAUUGUUUCAAAAAGAGAAAAAAAUUGUCUAAAUUCUACAGAAUGAUUUGACAAAUAAAUGUCUAAAAAAUCUACGAACGGUACGAAAUUAUAACUGAGGCUGAGCGGAGGAGCACAGAAAAAACCCGGGUGUUUGUCUAUUGCUUAUUUGUGCUUAUUGCUGUUUGCUUGUUAUUGCUGCUAUUAUUUGUUUACAUUGUGUUGAAGAUGGGUGAUUCUGCCACGGCCAGACAAAAGCGUGAUGAAUUUAUGUAUACAAAUAAUAAAGGUUUUUAUGUUGAACUGUACGUCACUUAGCGGUUAGUAAUAAAAUAACUUUAGAAAACCCCCAACGCAAGAUGCGCUGCCAUAUUUUAGUAAAAUAGUAGGCUACCAGCCUAAGUUUACCGUCGCCACAAAUUGCUGUAAAAUACGUGAAUGUUUUGCAAUCUCACAAGAGGUAUGCACACGUCACAGGGGCAGAUUUGUGCUAUUUUGUUGAAAAUUGGAGAGCGAUGUAACAAAAACAUAACUGAUACGUGCCGCUGUCUGAUUCGGGAAAACCAUGUGACUGGAGGUGAGGGGACUGCAGCCUCUCGCAAUCCACUCACACGGGAAGAUAAUGAAUAUCAUGAUAUGCUUUUUUGAUCAGCUGCGCGUUCUUCUAAAUAAACGGUUCGGCAUUUGCUAGUAUUUAUCAUUUGCAUUAAACGGAAAGAUAAAACCAAAUGAAACUGCCUCUAAAUUUUGCACACGUUUUAAAGCAUUAUGAGUUUAUUCUAGAUUACCGAUUGACAAAGUCUGAGUGCGCUGUUACAAAUAUGCUGUUGAACAAUAUGAAUCGUAGGUACCGGUAAGUGAAAUCUGUUGAAUAUGAAUGUGAAUAGACUGAUUUGUGAGUCUGAUGCAUCUGGUGAACAUGCUAUGUUUUCAGUGCAAGUCUCAUCGAACAGGAAAAAGCUUACUUAAGCACCGGAAAAGAAACUGAGAUUUGAUAUAAUGUGUUAUUAUGUGGUCAAAGGGGCCACAUGAAAUGUGACUGUCGUUCAAAGGGGGGUGAAAUUUUAUUCCAAGGGCGCACCACGUAGACAGUCAAUGCAACAGCCAAAGCAAGUGCAUCAGAAACUAUCUGACAGUAAUUACCAGAAAAACUGGCAUAACAAAACACAAUGAAAUGUUCUGACCAAUUACACAACCUCUGGAGACAUACAGUGAUCCUCUGCCUAUGGGGGGAGGAAGUGAGAAGGCCGACCAAGACCCAGUAGCCGCCCGCAUACCACAUGAUGUAGACACCUUGAUUAACCCAUGCCUAUGAACUCAGUCAAAUAAUGAUACAGGUUUCAUUGAUAUGAAACCAUACAAAGUUAAACUUAAACCUGUGUACAUCAAACUACAUCCUUUGUCAAAAGAAAAGGAAGAUGGCAUUAAACCUAUUAUUUACCAUUUUGUUUAACAGGGUGUCCUCGUACCUACUCGCCAUACAACACACCGAUUAACCCGGUGGUGAAUGCUGAUGGAAAGACAUAAUGUCUUACACAAGAUUUAAGAGCACUCAAUAAACUGAUAAUUCCUCUGUCUCUGAUUGUUCCAGAUGUGCCGACUGUUAUAAAUUUUACCAUGCACACAUACGUAUUUCUGUCAUUGAUUGUGUGCUGCUUUGUUUCUCUGUUCCAGUGCAUCCAGACACACAGCCACUGCUAGCCUUAUAGGAUAGGGGGCGCAAGAA